rnacentral:rRNA from 1 species
UCUCAGGAAAAGAAUUUUAGUCCAACCUAAAGCCACAAAAUAAAUUAAAUUACUAACUUUAGAGCAAUUCAAAUAAGGUACAGCCUGUUUGAUAUAGGACACAACCUCGAACAACGGCUAAUUUGUUACAACAUAGAUUAAGUGGGCCUAAAAGCAGCCACCUUUGAAGGGCGUCAAAGCCUAAUUUUUCCCACACUAAAUACCACAACCCACAAAGAACCCUUCAUCACUACUGAGUACUUCUAUACCCCUAUAGAAAUUUUUAUGUUAAAACUAGUAACAAGAAGACACUUCUCUUUAAAUGCAAGCAUAAAUCAGAACGGAACCCCCACUGAUAAUCACGCCCCGCGACAGCAACCACCCAACCUCGAAAACCCUGUCUUUUUCAAUCGUUAACCUAACACAAGAGCAUUUCAAGAAAGAUUUUAAAAAAAAGAAGGAACUCGGCAAAUAUUGAUUCCGCCUGUUUACCAAAAACAUCGCCUCUUGAUUAAAUAUAGGAGGUCCGACCUGCCCAGUGACAUCAAUUCAACGGCCGCGGUACUCUGACCGCGCUAAGGUAGCACAAUCACUUGUCUCCUAAAUAGGGACUAGUAUCAAAGGACCCACGAGAACCUAACUGUCUCCUUUUUUUAAUCUGUGAAACUAAUUUCCUCGUGAAAAAGCGAGAAUGACCAUAUAAGACGAGAAGACCCUACGGAGCUUUAGAUAAAACAAUACUUUCUUUCCCCUGUCACCUUCAGAGAACCACCCACUAAAGCAUUUUAUUGUUUAUCUUCGGUUGGGGCGACCGCGGAGUAAAAUCUACCCUCCACGCUGAAUGAGGACACCCCUCCUCCCCCCGAGCCACAGCUCUACGCAUCAAAAAAUUGACAAUUGACCCAAUAUUUGAUCAACGAAACAAGUUACCCUAGGGAUAACAGCGCAAUCUACUUCAAGAGUCCAUAUUGACAAGUAGGUUUACGACCUCGAUGUUGGAUCAGGGUACCCUAGUGGUGCAGCCGCUACUAAAGGUUUGUGUGUUCAACAAUUAAAACCCUACGUGAUCUGAGU